rnacentral:rRNA from 1 species
UACGGGGGGGGCAAGCGUUGUUCGGAAUUACUGGGCGUAAAGGGCUCGUAGGCGGCCAACUAAGUCAGACGUGAAAUCCCUCGGCUUAACCGGGGAACUGCGUCUGAUACUGGCAGGCUGGAAUCCGGGAGAGGGAUGUGGAAUUCCAGGUGUAGCGGUGAAAUGCGUAGAUAUCUGGAGGAACACCGGUGGCGAAGGCGGCAUCCUGGACCGGUAUUGACGCUGAGGCGCGAAAGCUAGGGGAGCAAACGGG